rnacentral:tRNA from 1 species
GCCCUUGUAGCUCAGUCGGUAGAGCACCACCAUGGUAAGGUGGGGGUCAACGGUUCAAAUCCGUUCGAGGGCUC